rnacentral:rRNA from 1 species
UACGUAGGGGGCUAGCGUUGUCCGGAAUCAUUGGGCGUAAAGCGCGUGUAGGCGGUCCGGUAAGUCCGCUGUGAAAGUCGGGGGCUCAACCCUCGGAUGCCGGUGGAUACUGUCGGGCUUGAGUACGGAAGAGGCGAGUGGAAUUCCUGGUGUAGCGGUGAAAUGCGCAGAUAUCAGGAGGAACACCAAUGGCGAAGGCAGCUCGCUGGGACGUUACUGACGCUGAGACGCGAAAGCGAGGGGAGCGAACAGG